CAUUGAAUGGCUGAAAAUUUAAGCACUGGUCUCUUAAACCAUUAUAUAGUGAUAAUCACUUUCAAUGA
rnacentral:tRNA from 1 species